GACUGCUGUGUCACAGAGCUGCUGCUUUCUACAUUAUCGCAACUGCCAGAGCUCUUACUGCUGCAGUUUUCUAGUCGCAGUGCGGCAAAGCAGACGCAUAGAACCAGGCACAAAGCAGCAUAGAUUUUUUUUAUUCUUGUCUUUCUCAUGUGAGGGGAAUAUUCCUGGUGUUAGCGUAGGAACAGACACAGCCUGGAUGUGUUGGCUUCAGCCUGGCAGCAUUUUCAGCUGAGCAGGGACUGCUUGGAGCUCUGUACCCAGAUUGCCUCUGAGGAAGAACGCCUGGUUUCCCACUUUGCGAACUAAAAGAGGGGGUUUUUUAUGCUACGUUAAUGUACCUGCAGCAAUAGGACAAAGGAGAUGGUACUUGUCUCAACUGGUACUUGUCAGUCUGUCCGACUGGGGCCUUUUGCGGGCAUUCCAUGGCCGAAGCUGUGCCAGCAUCCCAGGGUCAUAUAGAUGGGCAAUGCAGAUUGCUGCAAUUUCUUACAUCAGUUAGAGCAAAGCUUAAACAGGAAUCUAGACUCUCUGACCUAAAUCAGUCCCAGUCCUUCUGGAUACAGGGCAGCAGUCGACUAGCGAUGACACAACCAGCCAUCAAGUGGAGAGUCUCUGGGAUUGCAAUCUGUAUCAGUUGGAGUCUGAGAGAAUGAAACCCUUUCGGGUAUCCAGUCGCUGCCUGGGAGAACGAAACCCUUUCGGGUAUCCAGUCUCUUCUCCUUCUAAUACUACAAUUACUACAACUACAGCUACUACUACUACUACUUCUGUUUUUCUUGCCUGUAAGAAGCUAUUAAUUGUGGUUGGUCUCUGACUGUACAUUUGCGUGGAUUAGUCUGUCUGUAACGCAGUCCUUAUCUGCUUCUGCUGGAAAUCGGGGCAUGAAGUCAGCCUGCUUUAACAGUUGUUUCUUUCUGCGUGAUGCUAUGCAACUAGAAUGGGUUACACUGACAACAAAGGAACAAGCACAAAGCACCACUUUCUUUGCUGGACUGUUACAGGAACAUAACUCUUCUUCGAUAUGACACCCUGGUCUCUUCUCUUUGCUGGCUUUUUUUUCUUUUUAAUUUAAUUCAUCUAAUCGAAGAGCCUAGCAGACACCGUCGUGAAUGUGGCUUUUAAUGAUUUGGAAAAGACAGCCUGUGGAGACUGCGAUUCGAGACAGCAACACAUUUAGGUUAUUGCCAAUUUUAAAUACUUGGUUUGUGAAGCACAGCCCUAAGGGACGAGCUCAGUAACUGAGAAAGAGAUUGUAGAUAAAGAAAUAAAAAUGACAAGCGUAAUGGAGGCUCUGCAAAAGAGAUUGUCAGAGAAUCAGUUCAUGGAUGGCAAUUUCACCAGUCUGAAUCUGAAUAAUUCAUAGAUUGAAAUUACCCUGCUUUCACCUUUCCAUUUAAACCGGCAUGAUCUGAAUCUCUAAUAAAUUUUCAAGAUAAAGUAAAAUGCCAAUUUGAAUCUGAAGAGCUUUUAAAACCAGAUGCUACACCCUGAAUCUUUCGAUACCUUUCACAAUUAUCCUGUGAGAACCGCACUUCAUCACGAAGCACCAUUACCAGUGAAAAUUACUGUGAUUACAAUAGCAACAAUAGAAUACCAUCAAAUGAUCUCUAAUCUACCUAAUUUACCAAGGCUGACUGUGUGCCCAUUGUGUUUCACUACGUCUGGCAUUGGAUCAAUAUCACAGAGGAACAAAAAUGCCUUAGUGCGUGCUUCCUUUUGGUACCUUUAACUUUGACAGCACAGGAGAAAAUCUGCCUACUCUUAAAUAUUUUUAAAGCCUAUCUAUGUGCCUGCUGUAGGACCUGAUUGAUUCUCCGUGAUUUUCUUUAGUUUUUGGAUGUCAGAUAUCAUUGUGUUACUAAUUUGUUUAUAAUGUAUACUCAUGCACAAAGACUGCAGCAAGCGAGUGCCAGCAGAGAGACCCUGCACUGCUGCUGCAGUCGCAGAGCUCUCACAGGGGAAGCCAAAAUGAGUUCGGUGCCUUAUGUGAAUAAUUACUCCUGUCUGAGUUAGAAAUGCUUUGUAGCAUUACCGGUCUUGGUUGUACUACGUGAAAAAUGUAUGCAAAAGCCAUGGUCAAGAAAAGCAAUUGCGUGUAAUACUAACAAGAUUUUUCCCUCUAUUCAGCAAUUAGCAUGUGGUUGUGAGAGACAGGCUGCAACUCCUUCUGUAGAUGUGUGUGUGUGUAUGUGUAUGUAGGUACACAUGCACAUACAUAAAUGUAAUGCUCUGUGAAUAUGUGCUGAUCACUGAAAGUAACAACUUUUUCUGACAAGCCAGGCGCAGUGUUUUGCCACAAUCUGCUCAGUUGUAACAAAUCCCUGUUUUGAAGGUGUAAAUUUCCUAUAGGAUGAUGCAUGACUUCUGGAACAGUAAGUACCAUUUAUGCAGUAUGUUGGUGCCUAUAGCUAUGCUGCAGAAUAGUAUUUUAAGCAUAGUUUGAGUGCUUGUAGCAUAUCUAGAAUGGGGAGAAGUGAGAAAUGUACAGAAGGCUAAAAACAGGCAUUCUUCAUGGAGGCGAUUGUAUCUGCUGUUUGUAUGUGUGUGAGUUGCACACUUCAGGCUUGUUUUUCAUUUUAUAAUCAGAUUUACUCUGCCUUCAGGGAAUAUUUUCUAAGAGAGGAAGGUAAGCAAUAUUUCUUCUUACUUAUAUGACUGUUUUGUUAAGAGAAAUGUAUGUUUAUAGCACAGUUAUAUAACACAGCACAAUCUCAUGACAUCUGUUUCAGUAUUUGUUCACGUUAAAACUGGGCAAGAAAGCAUAUUUAAAAUAUAGCCUUUUAUUGAAUAUACACUUGCAGAAAUGCUACACAAAAAAAAGAAUUUACAGAUUGUGUUUGCAUUGAGAUUUGACUCUUUACUGUUAUUAAAUAAGAGCCUACUCUACCUAAAUAGUAAUGGUUUUGAAACCUUUCGAUUUUAGAUAUCUUGUCUUAUCAAAACACAAUUUACUGUACUUCUGAAUUUCCUGUAUAUGAGUGGAGACUGUUUUCUAGAAGUAGAAGAGGCAGAAGGUUUUACUGCUUGAUCUGUGAUAACAAAGGAAUUUGAAAGGGCACAAUAUAUGAUUAUACAAAAAACUCAAAUUCUAAAUAAUUUGGUAAUGUGAUUUAGCGAACUGCUCUUCUUAGACAACACACUCUCAAGUUGCUACACUACCUGGAAAUAAUUAGUCCAUUCAGUGCUAUAUUUAUAUUCUUCAUUUUCACGUGGUAUUCAAAACUUAACAAAGAAAAAUCCUUGGGCAGAGCAAAGACUGAAACUUAGGUAAAAGUAGAAAACCUACAUUAUGUUACUGUGGUAAUAAAAUCAAGAGAUUCAGACUGAACUUUGGGGAAGCGAACUAAGUGUUUUGGUUUAACUAUUUUAUGAUGAGCUUUUUAUGUUUUUUUGUACAGAAAUAUAACAUACUGAUAUAACUACUAUACUGCAAGGAUCAUGCAAACAGCAAUGUGAAUUGCAAAAUACCAUACAAAUACCUGGUAGCAUUCAUGUUGUUAUUAUUGUUACUGCCACAAUCUUCCAGUAUCAUAUGCUGCUUUGAAAUCAUGAUCUGUUAGCUAGUUUGACUGCAUGGAGUCUUUACAAUCCUAAUUUUUUUAUCAGUCUCAUCUGCUGUGACAGUCUUUAGAGAGCAGCUGGCCAUGGGGUGCAAGAUGUCCUCAUUAACAACUGCAGAGCAGAGCUAAGAGAGAGUUUACACACUGUUCAUGGCUUCCUGUAAGAGCCUGAUCCGAAUCGUUCUGUGGAUUCAUGCUGGAGUCUUCCAACUUUGUGUUUCUGUUAUUGAACUUUUGACAUGCCACUAGCUUUCUCACACUCCUCCAUGCUGGCCUCUCAUUCCAAAAUAUGCAGUGCUUGUCAGGCCUAAUGCUGUUUGUCGGUGCAAGCUCCUGCAGUAGUUGCCAGAGUCUGUUAAAACAGUGCACUCAGGAGCUGGGGGUAUCUGUGAGACUUAAAAAGUACUCUGAAAAAGUUUGAGAACCUUAGGAACUGAACUCUGUCUUUUGGGCUGGUGCGUGUUUCAAAGGCAGCAGGAUUGCAGUCUGCCAGCAGGAUACAUUGCACGUGCAAAUGGGAAAACAAUCAUUAAAACCUUUUCAGACAUAGGAUCAUGAAGUGAAAAUUAGCAAUAUUGUCUCACAAAAUGUGUUAAAAUAUAGUCAACUGUAUCAUCCAUGUAUUUUUUCAUGUGGCUAUAGCCAAUCAGGUAGCUACAGCUGAAGUGUGUAGGAUGUACAAUUGUAUGCAUCAAAAUAAAUGGGAGACUGUGCAAUAUCAAACUUCUAAUAUAAAGCCACUAAUUUCAGCAAUAGUGAUUCAACAGUUAUUACACAUCAUAUCAAAGAUUGAUUAGUCUGAUUUUGUGCUUAUGUUUUUCACUGUGUUACACUUGCUUGUCUGAAAAUGAAUUUGCAAUGGCAAAGUAAGGGCAAAGCCACUUCUUUACAUGAGUUCCCAGUUAAACACAGAUAUCCACUUGAGUAAAAUUCCCUCUAUGCCUUUGGUGGACCCUCAUCUGCAGCUAGGCAGUGACCAGGAUGAAGCCACACAUGUGAAAAACAUGCUGGAGCCCAUUUUACUACCAUUGAAUUUAAUAACAAGUCUCCCUGUGCCAUCAACAUAAAAGAUGGAUUAAUUAAUUUCCUUCCAUUACAUUCUUCCUGUGAAAGUUGUUGCUGGUUUUUUGGUUGUUUUUUUUUUUUCCUCUUGAUUACUAUAGUCAUUUGUAGUUGACACAAUGUUGAACAGAAGAUCUUUCCUGUUCACUAGUACACACAACCUGAGCUAAACAUACACUGAAAUCAGCAUCUCAGGAUAGGUUUAUUUGACAAUUGAAGGGACCUUCUUUCCUGUAGUUUUGUUGAUAAUAUUUGUGCUCACUCGCUUGCCAAUUCUGUAUUAUCACCUGCUAUAAAACACACCAGUUCUGAUCGGUAAUGGUUGUAUCUAUUUGGACAAGAGCCCUGAGGAUAGGAGGGCCUGUUAUGGGUUUUGUUGGUUUUUUCCACUGUACAAUUGCUUUGAAUUAAUUGCAACUGCCUAUGGAAAUAUGAUCCCUUAAGAAUGUAGAGAAAUACAUUAUUGAUGAGUAUGUAUAAGAAUUACUAGAUUCCUUUGCAUUCUGGCUGCUAUCAAUUUCACACAAUUAUUCCCAAACAAAAAUGUGAGGAGGAAAGUAAGAACAACAUAAAUUGAAAGGAAAAAAACAUCAUUUCCAAACAACUGUUUUGAUGCAGAAAAUUCAGAGCUAAACAGAAGAAAAUCCAAGUGGGUUCAUAGAUACUAUUAAAAUACCAAAUCAGCUCACUCCCUCUUUGAUGCCAUGUGAUAACCCCAGGAUGUGAUAGAGGUAAACAAUUUUGUCAUGUCAGUUUAUAUUACAUAGAUAGGAUCAAAACCCACCCUUGGCUUUAGAAGUAUUUGAAUUGCAUUUCACAGCAUCAGAUCAGUUUCUUGAUGGACUAUAAACCUACAUGUGCUCUGUGCUUUUAGCUGUGUAACAUAACCAGAAGUUCUGAAAAUCAAAUGAUUUCCGACUGACAAAAAGGGGAAAAUGAAAUCCUAAAUGGGAAUUGCAGCAGAGGCAAUGGGUUUUCCAGGUCUCAUGCCAGCAGAGAUUCUUGCUGUGGGUUUUCCAGAUCAGGUUAAACUCCUCAUUGUGUUAGAAUUUGUUCUAAAAAACACAUAGUUAAAAACGAGUGGGAAUUCAAAAUAUGGCCAAAUUUGUACCUGAAAACAUGUGCCUUUUUUUUUUCCCCUAACUGCAUUCAACAUUAUUUCUGCCACAGGUCUUGUCUCAAAGUUUACUGAGAAACUGUGUCCAAAAGAAUAUUUUCAGUGUUAUACCUCAUUUGUAGGUAGUCAUGCAUAUUGAAGCACACGCAAUGAGUUGGCACUUGUGGGAAAUGCAAAACUGGGAAAUGUUGUUGAAAUGGAAUAAAAAUAAAUUGACAGACUGUGAGAUUUCCACUCUACUGUUCACUUAUACUCAACAUUUCACAAGGUUGUGCAGAAGUGAACAUGUGGUUAAAUUAUAUGCAGUUACAUAGUGAAAUGCUCAAUAGAAAAGCCUUUUUUUCUACUCACCUGUUUGUUUCUUUGCUUCCUAUGUUCAUUCAAAAACCAUCUCCAGUGGGACAAUAGCCAUAGCAACUGGCCGCUCUUCUGUCCUGCAUGUAAGUAAGUGACAGUAAGAAGUUUCACUGAGACAGCAAAUGGAUGAGAUCCCACAACCUCUGCUCCUAAAGGCGAUGUCCUUGUUGAUGGGGCUAGGGGAGAGACAGGUACACAGAGGGGCUUUGAGAAUGAGAAACUGACUGUAUGCAAUAUACUUCUGACUCAUGUAUUAAAGAAGAAGUGGGAAAAUGCCAUUAUUAAGUAAUUAAAGAGGAGUAGGAACAUCUUUAAUUUCUAUGUUUUCACAGGCGGCUCUUCUGCAAACUUGUCAUAUUUAUACCUAGCAUGAGUAUUACGUGGUGAAAUUCCAAGUCACCCAAAAAAGUUAACCUGUUAAUCAAUAUUGAGACUGCAGAAAAAGAGUCCAUAACCCAAUAGACUACACUAAUGGUUACUCAUAUACAUAUACACAGUCCUAGCACAGGUGUUCAGAUAUAGCUUUAAGGCAUUUUAAUUUGCAUGUAAAUGUAGCUACCUAUGCUACUGCACCUGUAAUAUCUGUAAGGUGACCAUAUAUUUCACAUUAGCUUAAGCAGCUACAUCCCGUUUAAAUUGACCUUUUUGAUAAUGGCAUUUUAUGCACAGAAGUAGUGUAAAUUGUCACCACUCCUUUUCUAAAAAGGUACUAUUUUCUUCAAAGCUUGUCUCUACUAAACCUACAAUCUAUCUUUUCAUGAGGGGCAGUCUCUGGUGAGCUGAUGGGCUUGAUCUGGUUAUGAAUUUCUUGCAGUUUCUCGUUUUUAUGUUCUGUGUUUGUUUUAUUAUAUUUAGGAGUUGGAAUGCAUCUUUUCCUCUGCCACAGAACUCGAUGCUAAGUAAUUACUUAAGGACUCACACUUCAUCUUCUGAAUGCCCAACAGUAUGUGUGACUUGCUGAGCUCUCCCAGCAGGAUCUGGAGUCCAUGGGAGCAUGUGCAGGAAAAAAAACCCACACAUAAAAAAACUCCAAAAACUUUCUUGCUUCUGAUUGUCUGCCUCAACUUAGACAAUAUUUGUGACCUUAAUCUCUGGGUCUUUAUUUUGUUUUUGUAAUAAGUAUCUCCAGACACAAUACUCUCACCUUACAGGGCACUAUGAAAUUUAUUUCAUUAACAAAUGUGAGUCAAAUAAUGAAUAAGUAACUGUUAGGGGGAAAGUAGUGCUCCUAUCAUUAGUUCUGUGUGUAGUAAAUUAGGAGGAGGUUUUGCAAGAAGACAAAAAGGCUGAAUUGCUGCUCAUUGAGAAUUUUUCUGGAGCACAGAGCUCAUGCUCUUUAAGAUUAAUCUGUUUGGCAUAUAUAUAUAUAUACAUAACUUGGGUGAAUUUUGAUCACUGGCUAAUACACAGAGGUUAUAAAAUUGACUAGCUAAAAGAAUUUUAAGUUUCAGUGGUACUUUGUGGAUGUUAAAGGCAAAAAAUAAAAUAUAGCUGUCAAGGGGCAUCAUAGGCAUGUGAAAAGAUGUGAUACCAAACCAUAAUUUUUUUGGGGUUAUUUAUAAAGCAUUAAAAUGCUGUCUUUAUUUAGUACUGAAAAAUUCCCUACGUUCUGUUUUGAAUUUGGAGAGAUCCUUUCAUCUUCAACUACAGCAGUAGCAGUAGAGACUCUUGUCAGGUACAUAUUUCUACACAGGUAAGUUUAUAUUUUUUGUAGGUAAGUAGUCUACUUUCUUCCACAAUUUCUGUGCAUUCAUAAAAACACAGUGGAAAAUAUUUACAUUAGUAUAUAUUUAGCCACAAUACCCAUCAAGAAAAAGCAAUUUUAUUGGCAAAGCACUGUAUGAAGCGAAAAAAAAAGGUCUAUACUUUGCAGUUGAUUUUUGUCUGAAGGAAGAAUGUUCAAUAAAUGUUUGAGAAAACAAUGUGCCAUUUUCAGAUAUUUAGAGAAGAUAAUUUUCAGAAAACACAUAAAAAAUAAAGCUAUAAACUACAGCUGAAAGAUUCACAUCAUGAGGGCAACCCAUUUUUUGAACAACCUUAUUGUAAGUCUCUUACCUACUUUUAUAAAAAAUUAAUUGAUGAUUGCAUUUAAAAGAGAGUGUAACUCCCGUUCUCUCCAGGAAAAAUAACUGUGAUUUCAGGCUCUGAUUAGGUGUUAGAAAAAUGAAAGAUUUUAGUAUUAUUAUUAUUAGUAGUAGUAAUAAUAAUAAAAAUUAUAAACAACAACCUAGCCAAUCAUUCUUGCAACAUUCAUAGAUUUACAUGUAGCAGAAAGUAAUCUAGUUCAUGUGCAAGUUUUGAACAGCUUUCUAGUUGCCAGCACCAGUUUUUAAAACUUCUUGUGUCUUCUACAAGGAUUUAAGAACUUUUCAGGCCCAGGUUGGAAUGACUUCUAGAAAUGAGGUAGCCAGUAUUCUGUAUAUUUAUCUGCGGUCACUUAAGUACAGUGCAAACAUCCUUCAUGCUCAUGUAAAAACUUAUCAUAUAAACAGGGAAGUUUCUGGAUUUUCAUUUAAACAACUCACAAUAAGUUGUGAGUUGUGAGUUUUCAUUACCCACCAACAUAACACUGAAUUUUAAGGGACAGAUUUCAAACAGGAAAAUCUAGAAAGUAAACUAAUGUUUAUUUAUGAAUAUCAGAAGAGGGAAACUUAUUGCUUUAGACAGACAUACAAUUUACAUCAUAAGAAUCUGUGGAUAUUCCUAUUAUGUGCAUUUGGUUUUCUAAUUAUUGUAACUGUAAAGGUCGGACUGGUUUGUUUGUUUGUUUUUUUUUAAAAAAGUGAUCAUGAAUUGCAUCAGAGCCGUGAGAUUAUUUAAAUUCCUUCACAAUCCAGGUUGAGUCAAUAUUGCUGUAUCUGCAUGAGAAAACUAUUUAAAUGAGUGAGCUGAAGUUAGAUGAAGGCACAUGGUGGCUUUUGCUAAUUAGGAAUGUAAUUGUCAUUGACUUAGUUAUUUUAGAGGUGCCUGUCAGAAGUUUUCUUAAUUGUAUAUUUACUGUUUUCCUCUAUCUUUAAAGAUCUAUUGGCACUUGUAAAGUAGUUUUAUUUAAUAUUCUUCCUUAUUCCCAAACAGUUUUAUUCAGUUUUCUGAUAAUUAAUCUAUAUAAGCACUAGAGAGAGUAUUGAAACUGUACUUAAUAGCUUCCCAAAUAUUAAAUUUUUCUGCUGGAUUAAAAUGUAGUCCAUUGGGAAAACUUAAUUCAAAAUCAACACAUCCAAAUGGCAGAGGCAGAAAUUCAUAUUAGUCUGACACAAAGAUAAAUCAGAAAUCACAAGUUAGUGCCUCUUUUCCAUGAUAUUUCCAGUUUUGAUGAUCGCAAGAGCCCUUGCUUUCAACUACCUGACCUCCACUGAGCACUGAUCACACCCAACAUGCUGAAGUUUCUUCCCAUAUUGUGAUUGCAUUUUCAUUGUGCACAGACUUCAGAAACACACAAUAACCUGGCACUUACAGUUCCUUUCCUUUGUUUCUCCUCCUUGGAUAUCGAAUAUUUACAAUUGAUAGUAAAACUUUAGCAAGUCCCACCUGCUAUUUGGGUACUAUUGGGAUGGGCAGACCAAACAUCACAAGGGAAAAACACAUUCCUCUGUUCAACAAACAAGGCACUAUGUCCUCCCAAGAGCUAUAUAUGAGGAGAAAUAACAAUUCCUCGUCAGAAACCUGCCCUUCUAAACCAGUCCAUAACACUAUUAAAAAACUCAUUUAUACUCUGCAAGCAGAAGUGAAAAAGUAAAGUUCAAAAAAAAGUGACAAUUGGCAGCCACCUCAUAGCAUCAUGGCUAGUACCUGAGAGUCAACUUCAGGUGUAAAGAAAUCGAAAUUGCUCUCUUAAUGAUGUGAGCUCCUUUUAUUCUUAAAAGCUUACUAGGGCAUUCAGGAUUGUAGAUUCGGUUAGCUGUUGGUGGCAAAAGCUACUGAAUACAGUAGCUACUAACUGCAAAUAGGAAGAGAAAAACCAUUUUCAUACAAAGGUGAAUUAAAGUGAACUGAAAACUGAGUUAUGUUUUGAUAUACUUUCAUAACAUUUGUUAGGUAAGUACUGACUAUAAGCUAACAGCUACACAUACUGUAGUUGAUAAUCCAGUUUCUUCCAUAGUAAAUCUUUUGCGAGUGGGCUUACAGAGAACACAGAUUAUAAAUAAUUCAGGAUAAAAAUAUAUUUAUGAUUAUAUACGUAUGUGCACACAUACACUUGAAAAUUAGAAUAUUUAACACGUCUUUACGCAUAUGCAAUCAUUUAUUUUUAUUUUCAAUGAUAUUCUGUCACUUAUUUAUAUUUUGACACUGAUAGGGAAAUACUACUAUUUUGCCUUUGCAACAUUUUGUUUUUCUUUCUGCUGCUUGGCUUUACUGAUAAGAGAAUAUAGAUUAGGUUUUAAAUAACUGUAAUUUUUCAGAUGGCAUAGUGGUAUACCACAGAUCUGAAUUUCAAGAGCCACUGUAGUGUUGAGUGAACCAUAUUUGUUAGCUAUUAAUAGUGAGGCUAUAACAGGCAUCAGAAGCUGCACAAGAAAACCUUAAGUCCUUUCAUGUUGGGUCUCUAGACUAAAACCCUGACCUCAAUCUCAGCAAAUUCUUUCUGUGUUAGUGGAAAUUAGCUUCAUAAUAUUUUCCUUGUUUCCUUUGGACACUCUUCCUGAAUUUGAACUUAUUCUUCUAACUCACAUAUGUUUGAUUUAUGUUUGUUUGUUUCUUUCUGAUACUGAGAUUCCAUCUUACCCUGGUGAUCAUGAGGGUUUCUUUCUUUUUCCUAGUACUGAUUUAGACUAACAGUGAAUAGUCAUCCGAGGGAGCCAAAUGUGGCUAGACUGGCAUAAAUAAAUAGGCGGACUUUACUUUCCAGCUGUCUCAUUGUUGUCCACAUGGUGAUAAUACUGCUGUCUACAACUUUAAAGAAAAUGAGGCAAAAUAAAAGUAGCAGAAAGAUAAACUAGAAACCCCAAUAAGAAUAAAAUGUGACAAAUUGCAUCUUUACAUUAAAAAGAAUUGACUUCCAACCACUGAAGUACAAGUGAUACCUAUUUAUCAAGUUAAGUUGUUUUCAUGCUGCAAAACACAAGCUUAAUUACAGAGGCCAUUUACAUAUGGAUGGUACUUGUUUAAGCACUAUUUUUAACACUGUAUGCAUAAAUAAGAUUUAAUUUCAACUUUGGGGUUUUUUUUUAUCUUUGCUUUCAGAAAAUAGGCAAACAUAAUGAUGGAAACAAUCUCCUGGAUGAUCAAAAUGCAGUCCUUUACCUACUCAGGGAACUAUGCUUGUGACAUUUUCCAUGAACUUAACAAUUUGCAUCAUUAAAUUGCUUGAGCUGUUAUUUUUUUUGUCCCCACCACUUGUAUUAAAAAACAACUCUAGAACCUCACCACUUUUAUGGUCAGAAAUCUUCUAGAUUCCAGACUAAAUUUAUUCAUGGACAAAUUACACCCAUUUGUUCUUGUGCCAACAUUAUCUGCUAGAAUAAAUAGUUCUUUUCCUUGCCUACUGUUUACCACUCUAUUGUGUUUCUAGAGAAUAAUUAUUUCCUGUAUCAGCUUUUGUUUCUACUAGACUAAACAAGGAAAAACUUUUCAGCCUGGCUCUUAAAAUGGCUCCUCUUUGGUAAUCUCUAUAGCUCUUCCACUAUUUCACCUUUCACAAAUGUGAUGAAAAAAAUCUGUGUGAGAUCUCUUAGGUGCUUUAAGCAGUGAAAGAGAUUUUUUCCUUUUCUCUGCUAAGAAAUAGUUUAAUUGGUUCAUACUUGGAUGGUGUUUGCUUUUUCAUGGUUCUAUCCCACUGGUAACUAACAACCUUGCAGUCUGUUAAUAUGCAUACCCUGAUCUAUCUCCUGUGUUAUUUACAACUGAUAUUCUCCUAGUUUACAGCAGAUUUUUAAUUAAUCCUCGAGUGCGUGUCUCCACUGCCAACACUAUGCGCUUAAAAGUGAUUUUAGUGAUAUGUAUUUUCAAUGUGCUUUUUCCAAGGCUGACACAUGUUUUGGACAAAUAGAUGCCAAAGAUAACAGAAAAAUGAAAAAGAAUAAUGUAAGGAGGUACUCAGCACACUGACAGCACCAGGCAUGACAUAUUAGGGAGAAGUUUUCACAAGUGCUUCAGUGUAAUAUGAUAGAACAUAAAGGUUUGAGUGUGGUACAUUGCACACAAUACUUUAGGAAAUUCUCUUUUGGCCUUGUAUACUCACAGUUACUUAAAUAUUGCAUUUCAAAACAAUUAGGAUUAUUACAUCAAUACUUUUAGAAUGGUUCACGGUAAAAAAGCUUUGCUACUGCCUAGUUGUAAAGGUUCCAUUUAAGGGCCAUACAUUUUGGAGUGAAGACCAUAUAACUCUUAUGUUUUAAAAGACAUGGGCAUUCUCACGAGCAUGCUGAUGAUUUUGGACUGCAAGGUCAAACAGGUAGGAAUUUGAGAACUUUGAAUCUUUAAGAAAAUAAUUGACAUUUCCUCAUUUUGAUGUGGAAGCCAGCAAUUUAUAAAAUAACUUCAGCUGUACAAGUAUAGAUAGCAGAAGACUAGUGAAUUCCCACACUCAGUAUCUUUGCCCUUUAGUCGAAAGAUAAACUAGAUUUUUGAAGGAUUUUUUUAGAGGGAGAAAGAUUAUUUUAAAAUCAUGUGAUAGAUUUUUUUUUUUUUAUUUUGCAUAAGGGUGCUGGAUUGAGAAAAUGUAUUCAUAAGAGUUAUCUCCAAGGGCAUGCAGCUUUAGAAAACUCUUGAAAAACCUUUUUUGUCGGUUUUAAAUUUGAUGGGAAUCUGCUUAUUGGGAAGGGAAUCUGUAUCUGCUCAGGAUUAUUUUAUUAAGUUAUUAAAAGGUAGUUUUACUUAAUGUGCCCUCCUUGGCUAUUGCUAUAUAAUACUUCUUUGAUGUUGAAAUGGUAAGUGAACAUAUUAGCUUUUUGGUGCAGUAAUGUUUAAUAUGUUGUAUUUUGUUUAGGGCAUCCCUGUGGUGCUGGUAGCUGUGCGUGAACGACUAGUAUAUAAAGCUGGGAAGCUCUGAACGUCUUUCAGUGGUAAUAUAAUGAUUUUCACCAAAGGAGGAAGAAGUCUUGAUAUAUUUUUAUUCUGUUAACCUGAGUUUGGAGGGUGUUGAUUUCGUAAAUCACAAGGCCCAUCAGCAAUUUUGUUGAUGACAUCAAGCUGUGUGGCGCAGUCAACAUGCUGGAGGGAAGGGAUGCCAUCCAGAGGGACCUCGACAGGCCUGAGAGGUGGGCCCAUGAGAACCUCAAGAAGUUCAACAAGGCCAAGUGCAGGGUUCUGUAGUCCUGCACCUGGACUGGGGCAAUCCGAAGCAUAAAUACAGGCUGGACAGAGAAUGGAUUGAGAGCAGCUCUGACAAGAAGGACUUGGGGUUUGUGAUGGAUGAGAGGCUAGACAUGAGCCAGCAAUGUGCACUUGCAGCACAGAAAGCCAAGUGUAUCCUAGGCCACAUCUAAAGUAGUGUGGACAGCAGGUUGAGGAAGGUGAUUCUGACCCUCUACUCUGCUCUGGUGAGACUCCACCUGGAGUACUGCAUCUAGGUCUGGGGUCCUUGGCACAGGAAAGACCUGUUGGAGUGAGUUCAGAGGAGGGCCACCAAGAUGAUUAGAAGGAUGGAUCACCUCUCCUAUGAGGAAAGGCAGAAGGAGUUGGGAUUGUUCAGCCUGGAAAAGAGAAGGCUUCGGGGUGAACUAAUGAUGGCCUUCCACUACAUGAAGGGAGCCUACAAGAAAGAUGGGAGAGAGACUAUUUAUAAGAGCAGGUAGCAACAGAACAAGGGGGAAUUACUUCAAACUCAGCAAAAGUAGGCUUAUAUUAGGUAUUAGGAAGAAAUUCUUUCCUGUGAACCCUCACUGGAACAGGUUGUCCAGAGAAGCUGUGGAUGCCCCACCCCUGUAAGAGUUCAAGGCAAGGUUGAAUGAGUCUUUGAGCAAUUUGGUCUAGCAAAAGGUGCCUCUGCCCAUGGCAGGGGGGUUAGAACUAGAUGAUCUUCAAGGACCCUUUCAAACCAAAGCAUUGUAUGAUUCUAUGAUGUGAUUAAGUAAAUCUAUCAUAUGCAAGUAGUGGCUUCAAAAAGUAAAUUAGUUACUAUGUCUGUCAGAAGACUUUAUUUUUCUUUACUCAUAAUUCACUAUAUUUUUAGAAAUAUUUGAGACCUGUCCAGGCAUCAGAAACUUGCAGGCAUUUACUGCAGCAGGUUGCAACCAAAUGAUCAUUCUGACUUGACAAGAUAGGUUUUAAAGCAGUUCUUUUCCUUAAUAUGCCUCUUUCUUUUUUGCUAGUUGUAGUUAGUAUUUGUCAAAUUAGGACAAAGAUUUGUCAUUAGUCUUUUUUCUUUAGACAAUGAUACACUUACUCUGUUGAUAAGGGAAAGGGAUUUGAAAAGUGCCUGACAAAGAGAAACGUCACAGAAAGUAAAACAUGUAGUAUAUGGUAAUAUUAUCCUACUGAUUUUAAUCUGAUAGAGGUGUUAGGCUAAUUAAGAAAGAAUUAAACUACACAUGACAGAUACCGGUCACAUUGUUUAAUAUACUGCUGGAGAAUACACAGAACCAUAGGGGCGAUGAAAGCAUUGCAAGAGCAUACACAGAAGAGAAAUAAAAUACAAUUGCUGCAUGCAAGUAUAGUGGGUUUUGCAAGUAAACAUGGUAUACUUGUUUGACAGGAGGUUCUUUUGACAAGUAUAAUUUUGUCAUUAAUACAGAUUCUAUAUAGAAAAAUAUUUGUUAAGUGAUUUUAAAUGGUUUGGGGGUGGGGGAGACAGUGAAGAGCAGGGAAUAACCCUUCAGUAGUUAUUUACAUGGGAAAUGUUUGUAUUAUUCUCUUAAUAGAAAAUAAUAGUUUUUCCUCUUCUGCAGUACCUUCUGGUGCCAUUUUAAAAUUAAAAUAAAUUAUAUUUCUCCAAGACGGAAAAAUUUAUGUUUCUCUGAGAAACUGGCCUCAUCAAUAAGUUCAUAGAAAACAUUAUUUGGUUGUUUGGCACCUAUAUGGAGAAGCAUCCAGAAAUUAUUAUCUAUGUAAAACAGAGGGUUUUCUCCUCAGUUAUUUUCUCUCUUUUUCUUGUAUUGGCUUUGUUUCCAUUAGAUUUCUUGGAGCUCUGAUUCAGAGCAAAAUAGAUUUGCUGUUUCCUGAAAGAAGAUUUAUUAGCGUGGAGACGGUAUGGUAAGAUCAGUGAGAUAAUCUGUUUUAAGAGAAGAGGGUUAAGGUGGAUAUACAAGAGAAGGGUAUGAUAAUUUUCAAUUUCACACUGUAAGGAGUACCAUGUUGAUUUCAGAGCAAAAGUGGAAAAAAAUUCACUCUGGGAAUUAGGGGCUGUGCAUCAGCAUGGAUGCUGCUGUGCAUAUCGGCUAAUGCAGGGACAUGGCAGCUGAUGGGACAGACAGACCCUUGUGCCUUGCUCCUGCACUGACUUCUGCUUCCCCUUCAGUUUGAGAUGGGGGUCAUUUAAAAUAAUACAGUCUACAAUAUAAGACCUUUGGCAACUUGUUCCUUCUUCAAAGUAGUUUAAUACUGAGGCAACUCUAUAGCUGGGGAGGAUUUUUCUGUCUUUCGCCUAACUCCUUAAAAUCAGGUGUUUCAGGGCAUAUCUUAUGUACAUUACUAGAGUGUUGUAUGCAAUUCAUUUUUGUGGUUUAGGAGAAGGCAGUAUGUGUAUUGUGCACAGCACAUGUAAGUGACUAUUGAAAUGAUACUGCAAGUCACAAAUAUACUCCCAGUUUCAUUACCCACACAUUACCCCACAUUUCCCACCCACACAUUUCACCCACAGAACUAUAAUAAGCAGGGCUGAUUUAGGAGGCUCUUUGGGAUUUUAGCACAGCAAGUAGUCCCUAAUGGAGCUGGGAAGUGAAGGAAACUGUACCAGCUGGGAGCCAAAUAGCAGUAAUGCAGAACCUAUGGGGAGAUGAUGCAGCUCAUGAAGGUUUAUAAUACCAUAGGUUACUGUAAUUAUUAAAGAAGCAGGAAACAAAUAAUAAACUCCCCCCUUAUAAGCACUUUAUAUAAGAGAGAUGCAAAAUGGUAGAGUUGAAAGGGAGAUAAGGCUGUUCACAAUCUGCACUCAAGCUGGAUGUGGGUUACUCCCUUUCAGGUGUGUGGUCUAAGCUUCAGGUGAUGGGAGUGGUUCCAUGUUUUUUGAAGUUUUACUUUUUCUUCUUUUUUUCAUCUUCCUCCUGGCAUAUCGCUCUGCUUUCCCAUGAGUGGUGUCACUAGCAAGAAAAUAACCAGAUGUCUCAGCCGGGCUGUUUCCAUUUUUCUACCGCAGAAAGCAAGUUUACUCAUUCUGAAUCGUGCCAAACCGCAUAAUUUGGAAAGGAAUAUUGUGGCUCUACUUGGAAAGUACUAAUUGGGCUUCAGCCAUCACUGGGAAAGCUGUAUAGUCUUUUAUUAUUUUAACUGGCCAAAUGCCCUUUGUUACCACAUUAACAGUCUCCCUAUGGUGCCUGUAACUUUGAUAUUAUUUUCACUUUCAUGCUAAAUUUGACCAGAUGAAAGACACAAACCCUCCAAUUUUGAAAUAAAAAAAAUAGCAUGUUUUGUUAAUCCUGUAUUUCAGAGGGAAAGUCUGCGAAAAUGAUAACCUUUGUCUGUUGGCCAAAGUUUUUGUUCAGUAAACCCAUCCUGCCAGCUGUUCCCAUUGGCAAGAGGAAAGAUAA